AGAGUUUGAUCCUGGCUCAGAUUGAACGCUGGCGGCAUGGCUAAAACAUGCAAGUCGAACGCGAACGUUACUUCGGUAACUAUUAGAGUGGCGAACGGGCGAGGAAUACGUUUCUAACGUGCCCCAGGGUCGAGGAUAGCUCACCGAAAGGUGUGGUAAUACUCGAUGACCCGGCUUGGCCGCAUGGUCGAGCCGGCAAAGGCUUGCUGCCCUGGGAUCGGGAAACGCGCUAUCAGCUUGUUGGUGGGGUAACGGCCUACCAAGGCAAAGACGGCUAGCGGGUGUGAGAGCAUGACCCGCCGCAUCGGGACUGAGACACUGCCCGGACUCCUACGGGAGGCUGCAGUAACGAAUCUUCCGCAAUGCGCGAAAGCGUGACGGAGCAAUGCCGCGUGCAGGAUGAAGCCCCUCGGGGUGUAAACUGCUGUCAGGGACUAGGAAUAUUGACCAACCCCAAAGGAAGGGCCGGCUAACUUCGUGCCAGCAGCCGCGGUAAUACGAAGGGCCCAAGCGUUAAUCGGAAUCACUGGGCUUAAAGCGUGCGCAGGCGGAUCGGUAAGUACCUUGUGAAAUCCCACGGCUCAACCGUGGAACUGCAGGGUAUACUGCCGAUCUUGAGGCCAGUAGGGGUCGUCGGAACUGUAGGUGUAGCGGUGAAAUGCGUAGAUAUCUACAGGAACGCCAAAGGUGAAGACAGACGACUGGGCUGGUUCUGACGCUCAUGCACGAAAGCGUGGGGAGCAAACAGGAUUAGAUACCCUGGUAGUCCACGCCGUAAACGAUGUGUACUAGAUCUCGGAGUCUCUGACGACACCGGGAUCGAAGCAAAAGUGUUAAGUACACCGCCUGGGGAGUACGGUCGCAAGGCUAAAACUCAAAGGAAUUGACGGGGGCUCACACAAGCGGUGGAGCAUGUGGCUUAAUUCGAAGCAACGCGAAGAACCUUAUCCUGGGUUUGACAUGCACGGAUACCCUUCCUGAAAGGGAAGUAAGUUGCCCUCGUGGUGAAACGUGCACAGGUGCUGCAUGGCUGUCGUCAGCUCGUGCUGUGAAGUGUUGGGUUAAGUCCCUUAACGAGCGAAACCCCUGUCGUUAGUUACCAGCGCGCCUUCGGGUGGCGGGGACUCUAACGAGACUGCCGGUGUCAAACCGGAGGAAGGCGGGGAUGACGUCAAGUCCUCAUGGCCUUUAUGCCCAGGGCUGCACACGUGCUACAAUGGCGUAUACAGAGCGAAGCAAUACCGCGAGGUGGAGCAAAUCGCACAAAGUACGCCCCAGUUCGGAUCGUAGUCUGCAACUCGACUACGUGAAGGUGGAAUCGCUAGUAAUCGCGUAUCAGCAAUGACGCGGUGAAUACGUUCCUGAGCCUUGUACACACCGCCCGUCAAGUCAUGGAAGCCGGGAGUGCCCGAAGUCGCACCGAUUCAGGUGUGCCUACGGCAAGCUCGGUGACUGGGACUAAGUCGUAACAAGGUAACC
rnacentral:rRNA from 1 species